UCGGGUGAAGCUAAAUCGUAAGAUAUUAGUGGACGAGGCGGAAGUGAGAAUGUCGGCUUGAGUAACGCAAACAUUGGUGAGAAUCCAAUGUCCCGAAAACCUAAGGGUUCCUUCGCAAGGCUCGUCCACGAAGGGUUAGUCAGGUCCUAAGGCGAGGUCGAAAGGCGUAGUCGAUGGCAAACAGGUUAACAUUCCUGUACUUCUUUUUAUUUGGUAACCAGGGACGGAGAAGGUAACGGUUAGCCGAGAUUUGGAUUUCUCGGUAGAAAUGCGCGAGUCGUUGAGAGGUUGAAGAAAAACAAUUUUUGAGACAAGACAUGAUAUGAUGAAAAAGUUUACUUUUUUAUUUAGCCUUAAUCCAACUUCCAAGAAAAGCUGGGAUUACUUUACAAUGAAAAGAACCUGUACCCUAAACCGACACAGGUAGGUAGGUAGAGAAUACUAAGGGACGCGAGAUAACUCUCUCUAAGGAACUCGGCAAAAUGGCCCCGUAACUUCGGGAGAAGGGGUGCCUCUAUUCAGAGGCCGCAGUGACCAGGCCCAGGCGACUGUUUACCAAAAACACAGGUCUCCGCUAAGUCGUAAGACAAUGUAUGGGGGCUGACGCCUGCCCAGUGCCGGAAGGUGAAGGAAGUCGGUGAUUCUUUUUGAAAAAGCUGGUGACCGAAGCCCCGGUGAACGGCGGCCGUAACUAUAACGGUCCUAAGGUAGCGAAAUUCCUUGUCGGGUAAGUUCCGACCCGCACGAAAGGCGUAACGAUCUGGGCGCUGUCUCAGAGAGAGACUCGGUGAAAUAGACAUAUUCGUGAAGAUGCGAAUUUAUCAUACUUGGACAGAAAGACCCUAUGAAGCUUGACUGUAGUCUGGAAUUGGGUUUGGGCUUUUCUUGCGCAGACUAGGUGGGAGGCGUUGAUCAUUUGUUUCCGGAUAAAUGUGAGCCAUCAGUGAGAGACCACUCUUGAAAGGCUAGAAUUCUAAUGGCGAUCCUUGAAUCAGGACGCUUGACAGUUUCAGAUAGGCAGUUUGACUGGGGCGGUCGCCUCAUAAAAAGUAACUGAGGCGUACAAAGGUUCCUUCAGAAUGGAUGGAAAUCAUUCGGAGAGUAUAAAGGUAUAAGGGAGCUUGACUGAAAGACUUACAAGUCGAACAGGGGCGAAAGCCGGUCUUAGUGAUCCGACGGUGCCGCGUGGAAGGGCCGUCGCUCAACGGAUAAAAGUUACUCUAGGGAUAACAGGCUGAUCUUCCCCAAGAGUUCACAUCGACGGGAAGGUUUGGCACCUCGAUGUCGAUUUCUCGCAACCUGGGGCGGUAGUACGUCCCAAGGGUUGGGCUGUUCGCCCAUGAAAGCGGGACGCGAGUUGGGUUCAGAACGUCGUGAGACAGUUCGGUCCAUAUCCAGUAUGAUCGUUAGAGUAUUGAAAGAAUUUCUCCCUAGUACGAGAGGACCGGGAGGGACACACCAAUAGUUUACCAGUUGUCGUUCCAACGGCAAACGCUGGGUAGCCAUGUGUGGAGUGGAUAACUGCUGAAAGCAUCUAAGUAGGAAGCCCAUCUUGAGAUUAGUACUCUCUGAGGUCACGGCAAGAAAAGCCGUUUUAUAGGUGUUACGUGUAAGAUCAGUAAUGGUUUUAGCGAAGACAUACUAAUAGACCGAUUGACUUUG
rnacentral:rRNA from 1 species